AUGCUCUCCACCUAUGAAAAGGAAGGCCUGGCCAUUCUCUUGGCGGUAGACCACUGGCGUGCGUAUCUCCAGAAUGACGAAUUCAUAGUACACACAGACCAGUGCAGUCUCAUUCACUUGGAGGACCAGCGACUAGCGACACCAUGGCAGCAGAAGAUCAUGGCCAAGCUGCUCGGGCUCCGCUAUCGCAUCAUCUACAAAAAAUGA
rnacentral:rRNA from 1 species